UUUGGGAUGUGAUGAUUAUCAGAGGCUGUUUCUGAGGAUGAGCCUAGAGCUCCCCCUGUGCUGCAAAUUAACUGAUAUCUAUUCUGAUCCAAAC